GAAUGCUUUGACCUCCCUCAGUUCCCACUGUCACAGUGCCCUCCAGCAAGGCACUUUUACAGCAGGCCAUACUCCCAGAUCAGUUACAUGGGCUUUUGUUAAGUGGAUCAAAAUCAAAGCAAAGCCUUCCCUGGACAAGAGAAAUCAACACAACCAA